GUCACCUUAAUUUAAAAGUUAUUAACGAUUAAGAAAUAAUGACCUUUAAGGAGACCUUUGCGACGUUAUAAUGACCGCUAUGACCUUAAUAAGCGCUAGCUAAUAUUUAAGCUUAAAAGCUAAAUAACAACGAAACGUUCUUUAAUAAAAUUAUUCUUGAAUAGAUUAAAGAAGAUAAAGGAUAUUACAAGCCUCCCCGGCUAUCAUGGUUGGUAAGCAGGAAUUCAGGUAUGGAAGAACAGAUAUGGAUCACUAUUAUACUGCGUUAUGGAGAUUUUGUAUGAUUCUAUGAGGUUUUAAGAUACUUUGUAUAGUGAAUAAACAAGUAUUAUCUUGCGAUGAGUAAUUGUAUAGUGAAUUUUCAAUUUUAGGCUACUAUUUUAUUUGUGGGCCAUAACCCACAGGAUUAAGUUAUGCUUCCGCU